UACGUAGGGGGCGAGCGUUGUCCGGAUUCAUUGGGCGUAAAGAGCUCGUAGGCGGCUUGGCAAGUCGGGUGUGAAAACUUCAGGCUCAACCUGGAGCGGCCACUCGAUACUGCCAUGGCUUGAGUCCGGUAGGGGACCACGGAAUUCCUGGUGUAGCGGUGAAAUGCGCAGAUAUCAGGAGGAACACCGGUGGCGAAGGCGGUGGUCUGGGCCGGUACUGACGCUGAGACGCGAAAGCGUGGGGAGCGAACAGG
rnacentral:rRNA from 1 species